rnacentral:rRNA from 1 species
GAUGAACGCUGGCGGCGUGCCUAAUACAUGCCAGUCGAGCGAACGGACGAGAAGCUUGCUUUUCUGAUGUUAGCGGCGGACGGGUGAGUAACACGUGGAUAACCUACCUAUAAGACUGGGAUAACUUCGGGAAACCGGAGCUAAUACCGGAUAAUAUUUUGAACCGCAUGGUUCAAAAGUGAAAGACGGUCUUGCUGUCACUUAUAGAUGGAUCCGCGCUGCAUUAGCUAGUUGGUAAGGUAACGGCUUACCAAGGCAACGAUGCAUAGCCGACCUGAGAGGGUGAUCGGCCACACUGGAACUGAGACACGGUCCAGACUCCUACGGGAGGCAGCAGUAGGGAAUCUUCCGCAAUGGGCGAAAGCCUGACGGAGCAACGCCGCGUGAGUGAUGAAGGUCUUCGGAUCGUAAAACUCUGUUAUUAGGGAAGAACAUAUGUGUAAGUAACUGUGCACAUCUUGACGGUACCUAAUCAGAAAGCCACGGCCAACUACGUG